AGCAUAUCAAUAAGCGGAGGAAAAGAAACCAACAGGGAUUGUCUUAGUAACGGCGAGUGAAGCGACAAAAGCUCAAAUUUGAAAUCUGGCACCUUCGGUGUCCGAGUUGUAAUUUGAAGAAGGUAACUUUGGAGUUGGCUCUUGUCUAUGUUCCUUGGAACAGGACGUCACAGAGGGUGAGAAUCCCGUGCGAUGAGAUGUCCAACUCUAUGUAAAGUGCUUUCGAAGAGUCGAGUUGUUUGGGAAUGCAGCUCUAAGUGGGUGGUAAAUUCCAUCUAAAGCUAAAUAUUGGCGAGAGACCGAUAGCGAACAAGUACAGUGAUGGAAAGAUGAAAAGAACUUUGAAAAGAGAGUGAAAAAGUACGUGAAAUUGUUGAAAGGGAAGGGUUUGAGAUCAGACUUGGUAUUUUGUAUGUCUUGCUUUCGGGUGGGGCCUCUGCAGUUUACUGGGCCAGCAUCGGUUUGGACGGUAGGAUAAUGACAUUGGAAUGUGGCACUACUUCGGUGG
rnacentral:rRNA from 1 species